CGAGAAAGUCCCUUCGGGGGACGAGUACAGUGGCGCACGGGUGAGUAACACGUAGGUAAUCUACCCUCCGGCGGGGGACAACGUUCCGAAAGGGACGCUAAUACCGCAUAAGACCACGGCCUCUAAGGGGGCAGUGGGAAAAGGUGGCCUCUCCUUGGAAGCUACCACCGAAGGAUGAGCCUGCGUCCCAUCAGCUAGUUGGUAAGGUAAUGGCUUACCAAGGCGAAGACGGGUAGCUGGUCUGAGAGGAUGAUCAGCCACACUGGUACUGGAACACGGACCAGACUCCUACGGGAGGCAGCAGUGAGGAAUAUUGGGCAAUGGGCGAAAGCCUGACCCAGCCACGCCGCGUGAGUGAUGAAGGCCUUCGGGUUGUAAAGCUCUGUGGGGAGGGACGAAAACCCGUGGUUCGAAUAGGGCCAUGGCUUGACGGUACCUCCUUAGCAAGCACCGGCUAACUCUGUGCCAGCAGCCGCGGUAA
rnacentral:rRNA from 1 species